rnacentral:rRNA from 1 species
GCCAGACUCCUACGGGAGGCAGCAGUGGGGGAUAUUGCACAAUGGGGGAAACCCUGAUGCAGCGACGCCGCGUGAGUGAAGAAGUAUUUCGGUAUGUAAAGCUCUAUCAGCAGGGAAGAAAAAAGACGGUACCUGACUAAGAAGCCCCGGCUAACUACGUGCCAGCAGCCGCGGUAAUACGUAGGGGGCAAGCGUUAUCCGGAUUUACUGGGUGUAAAGGGAGCGUAGACGGUGAUGCAAGUCGGAAGUGAAAGCCCGGGGCUCAACUCCGGGACUGCUUUUGAAACUGUGUGACUGGAGUGCAGGAGAGGUAAGCGGAAUUCCUGGUGUAGCGGUGAAAUGCGUAGAUAUUAGGAGGAACACCAGUGGCGAAGGCGGCUUACUGGACUGUAACUGACGUUGAGGCUCGAAAGCGUGGGGAGCAAACAGGAUUAGAUACCCCAGUA